GAUUCACCAGGGACUGGACCUUCCAGACGCAGGUGUCUUUAUACUACAUUCACCUGAGACCCGUUCACUGCACUCAGAUUUUCUAAUUCCACUAAUUGUGAGACUUCUGGUACCAUUUGGUUGCGCCUGUGUUGAAUGAGUGUGCUGCACCCUGCCCACUCCCUCAUUGGCAAAGAAUGCAGCAGCGUUAUUUACAGUAGAUGAAUCGUACACUCUGGUUCUAGUUGCAGUGUUUAUAGGGCUGCAGAGGAGGCCUGCCCACACUGGAUGUGUAGGAUUUUAAAUAGCCAUGUUCCCGAGGAGCGAAGAAGUCGGGGUGCUCUCAUAAUUGGCUGUAAGGUGUGUCUAUCUUCUGUACAAGGGGGGGCUGCCGAGAUAAAGUCGCUCCUUAGCGCGCAUGCGUAGAAAACUUUACUUCGUUAGCUGUCAAAGCAGAAUGUUUUCCUCCUGAACAUGGACCAAACUGAGCGAAGAGACCACCAGAGAGCUACUUAACGUGUCUGUAGUUUACUGAAAACGACACGCUACGACUUUUUUUGACUUUUAAAGCAACAAAAAUGACAUUACUGAGCCGUUUUUGUGGACUUGAGGUCUGUGAGUACAAACACUACCGUCGCUACCAGACGCACUAACUAACGGCAGCUAAAGUUGCGAAGCCUUAAAAGUUAGCACCAACCUUCAAGAAAAGACUUAAAGUUAUUUUUUAUUUACAUUUCAGUUUUGCAAAAAGGUAUAAUUAUGAGUAAACAUCAAGUAUGGUAGUUCCCCUGUCGACUGGCGUGGACUAGAACCGGAGGGAAACAGGAUUCGAAGGAGGCGGACAGGUAGCUCCUCCUGUUGCGAUGGGCAACCGCGGGAUGGAGGAGCUGAUCCCGCUGGUCAACCGCCUUCAGGACGCCCUGAGCAGCGUGGGGGAGAGCGCCAGCCUCCACCUGCCCCAGAUAGCCGUGGUGGGCGGCCAGAGUGCAGGCAAGAGCUCCGUGCUGGAGAACUUCGUGGGCAGAGACUUUCUUCCACGGGGUUCAGGAAUUGUCACUCGCAGACCAUUAAUCCUCCAGCUGCUAAAUGGUAACACAGAGUAUGGUGAAUUUCUCCAUUGUAAGGGAAAGAAGUUCACAGAUUUUGACGAGAUCCACAAGGAAAUUGAGACAGAGACACGUAGACUUACAGGAUCUAAUAAAGCCAUCUCUCCUAUUCCCAUCAACCUACGGAUUUACUCACCAAAUGUGCUCAACCUGACUCUUGUGGACCUGCCCGGCAUCACCAAAGUGCCCGUAGGCGAUCAGCCAGCUGACAUAGAGUACCAAGUCCGAGACAUGAUCAUGCAGUACAUCUGUAAAGAAAACUGUCUCAUCCUGGCUGUCACGCCUGCCAACACUGACCUGGCCAACUCUGAUGCUCUGAAAUUGGCCAAAGAUGUUGACCCACAAGGUCUGCGCACAAUUGGUGUAAUCACAAAGCUGGACCUGAUGGAUGCAGGAACAGAUGCCAGGGAAAUACUAGAGAACAGGUUGCUUCCUCUACGCAGAGGCUACAUCGGGGUUGUGAACCGCAGUCAGAAGGACAUUGAUGGGAAAAAGGACAUUCAAGAAGCUCUUGAGGCAGAGAAGAAGUUCUUUCUAUCCCAUCUGGCCUACAAACACAUGGCUCAAACCAUGGGGACCCCAUAUUUACAAAGAAUACUUAACCAGCAACUGACAAACCACAUCCGGGACACACUGCCAGCCUUCCGUAGUCAUCUACAGAGCCAGCUACUAGGUUUGAACAAGGAGGCUGAAGAGUAUGGACAGUUUAAUCCUGAUGACCCUACACGCAGGACCAAGACACUGCUAAAGUUAGUUCAGCGCUUGGCUGUUGACUUUGAGAAGCUAAUUGAGGGCUCGGGUGACAGAGUAGACACUGUCAAUCUGUCAGGAGGGGCUAGGAUCAAUCGAAUCUUCCAUGAGCGUUUCCCCUACGAGCUGGUCAAGAUUGAGUCUGAUGAGAGGAAGCUACGGCGGGAGAUCAACUAUGCCAUCAGAAACAUCCAUGGUGUCAGAACAGGCUUGUUCACUCCUGACAUGGCCUUUGAAGCCAUAGUGAAGAAAGAGAUAUCAAGGCUACAAGGGCCAUGUACUAAAUUUAUUGACCUGGUCACUCAAGAACUAAUCACCACUGUGCACCAGUGUAUCAACAAGCUCAGUUCCUUCCCCAAACUGCGAGAUGAGACAGAGAGAAUUGUAACCUCUGAAAUUCGAGAACAUGAGAGCAAAUGCAGAGAGCAGGUCUUGCUGCUUAUUGACAUACAGCUUGCUUACAUAAAUACCAAACACGAAGACUUCAUCGGCUUCACUAAUGUCCAGCAGGCUUACAGUCAAAGCAAUAAGAAGACUGUUCCAGGGAUUGCAGGAAACCAGGGUGUGGCCCCUCCUUCAAGUCUAAUAGUGAUACGGAAGGGCUGGCUGACCAUCUCCAACAUUGGCAUCAUGAAAGGUGGAGCGAGGGAAUACUGGUUCAUCCUCUCUGCAGAGAGCUUGUCGUGGUUCAAGGAUGAUGAGGAGAAGGAGAAGAAGUACAUGCUUCCUCUGGACAACUUGAAGCUCAGAGAUGUUGAGAAGGGCUUCAUGUCCAGCAAAUUUGUUUUUGCUAUCUUCAACACAGAGUUAAGGAACGUGUACAAGGACUACAAAUGCCUGGAGUUAGCCUGUAACUCUCAGGAGGAGCUGGACAGCUGGAAGGCCUCUCUGCUGCGGGCCGGAGUGUACCCUGAGAGAGUCGCUGUUGAUGGUCAGGGAAAUGGAACUCCUGAAAACUUCACAGACCCCCAACUGGAGCGUCAAGUGGAGACCAUUCGUAAUCUGGUUGACUCCUACAUGAGCAUCAUCUAUAAGACCAUCAGGGACUUAAUGCCAAAGACCAUAAUGCACCUCAUGAUCAACAGUGUGAAGGAGUUCAUUAGCUCCGAGCUCCUGGCUCAGCUCUACGCUCUGGGAGAAUGCUCAGUGCUGAUGGAUGAGUCACCAGAGCAGCAGCAGCACCGGGUGGAAGUUCUCAGCAAACAUGCAGCCCUGAAGGAGGCGCUCGCUGUCAUUGGUGAGAUCUCUACUUCUACCUGCACCACUCCUCUGCCUCCACCUGUAGACUCCUCGUGGAUACAACCCUCCAGCCUAAAUCCUCCUAAACACUCAGGCAGGCCAGUGAUUCGUGGCCAUGCUCCACCUGCUCCUAGGGUGCCUCACACUGGACACAAUGCUUCCACCGCCGGCUUUCAGCGGCUCGCUGUUCAACACAGCCGAGCCCCAACCAGUGUGCCAAGGAGGCAUCCUCCAGCAAUCCCGAAAGUCAAAUAAGUCUUUUCUGCUCAGGACUCCAUUACCCAUCUGCCCCUGUACUUCUUCCAGCUGCAGCUGACUGCUACCCAGAGAAAUCCCACAACCUGCCUGAUGUGUAAUCCAGCUGAAGCACUACGCUGGGCUUCUCCCCGUCUCCUCUGGGAGCUGCAGUCUGCAAAAUUCACUCCGUCCUGAGUCUGGACGCCCUGCAGCGGUUCUCUGAGGCCCGGUCAGGCCGCUCGGCUCGCCUGCUUGGACGGUUGUGUUGAAGUGAGGCCAUGUCUGCUGUUCCUGGUCGGACUAUGGCGCCACCAAAGCGCUCAAAACCUGCUGCAAAAGCCGCCGCCAUAUUCCGGAGCAGGCCGAGGAGAGAGGAGAUGAAGGUGUCUGUGUUGAACAUACGCCCCUUCUCUGCUAAUAAUAUAAGACCACAUCCACAGACCGCCAACAUGUCUGCUCAAAGAACCUCAUUUAUCUUCAAGCUUCUCAGUGUGCAAACCACAUCCUGCUGUCUCCCUGGUAACAGCCAGCAAACCUGUCAGCUCCGAUACUGCGUCAGAAGACCUGGAAACCACCACGAUAGGAUCGUGCCUUAGCAGGGUUUCCAGAAGGACUGAAUCAUCCACCCAGAGGCUGAUGGGCCCAGGAGCAUCUAGUUCUUCACUGAGGGAGUGUCUGAUCAUCACAUCUCUGCAGCAACAAACCUAGAAGAUACCAGAUCGCCCAGCAGCUCUAUGACUAGUAAGAGACAGUUUUAUUCUACCGAUUUAUUAUUUCAUUGUCUUUUAUCUGUAUUUUUAUUGCUUGGUUAGACUGUUUUUUUUUUUGUUUUGAUAUGAAGUUUUUUGCUCAAUAGGAAUACAACAGUACACAGAGGUCAGAAAAACAUAUGAUUGUUUAAUUUAUACACAUAUACAUUUACAGGACAUUAGCUGAAUAAAUAUAUCACAUUCCUUCUUUUUCCACUCAUCAUUUAUGGUUGUAAAAAGUUUUUUUUUCAAAGCCAGUGUAGCUGUUCUUGUGGUCUCCUUUUAAGUAACGUAGAAAUACUUUAAGAAAUGUCUUUAAUUUUUGCAGAAUUUCAAAAGCGCUUUCAAAUAAAUCAGAAAAUGAAUUUAUUACUAAUCCAUAAGACUUUCCAUGAGACACAAUCUCAACAUAUAUUUCAAGACUAGAAACACAGUAACAUGAGUUGUACAGAGGAACAAGGAAGGAAUAAGCACUGAAACUGAGGCAGAAGGUGAUCAUUUCUCACAACCAGACAUCCUAUAUUAUUGCAGGCAUCCACAGAACAAAUGGCAACAUAUGCACAUACUGUAUGGCAACACAUUUAAAACAAUCACACUGCUCAGAGUUUGAUUUAACACACUUCCAACAUAAGGCGGUAUAAACUGCGAAGGCGUGAACUCACUGGAUUAUCAUUAUCUUACAGCAGAGGGCAAAAUUUGGAAGAUGGAGCUCCCUGCCAGGGUUGUAAGUGGCCAAGUCUCAAGAAAGGAGCUGAGAAAACACCAAAUUUAAAAAACAAAAAAAACCUCACUGAAACCAUAACCAAAAGCCAUGUUGGCACCUUAAGGAAAAGCUGACGAGAGUUUGCCAACUGCCGAACCCAGCCCUGAAGCGUUAAGAGCAUUAAUGCAGUUUGAUACAAGUCUCAACAGAGUGUGUGUUUUUCACGAACACACUGUGCUUUGAAACGACAGAUUUCUGGUGACAAGGUUGGCUCCGACCAUGACAAGGAACUUCAAACUGAACCAGAAGUGCAGAAGCUUCCUGAGCUCUCUGAACCAUCUCAACCCGACCAGAAGUCACAGAGUGGCAUGUGAGACUUUAAUGACGAGUUUGUUCCUGGAGCCAUGUUCAUGACCAAUGACAUUGAUAAAGACAAAUACUACACAAGAAAAUGAUCUGGACGUCAACAGUAAAGAAGGGCAGAGGUCAUUAAAACCUACAGUAUUGACAAAUGAGCUUAGCCCUUCUGGACUUUGGAUAUGAGUUCAUCACAGAGUUUGGUGAGCUCUUCAGCCCCCUUCUCCUUGAGUUUUUAAAAAUCUCUUGAUCAGUGCUCCUUCUCCCACAUAUCAGGACAAGUUGUGGACCCAUUUCUGCUGGACCCCACUAAAACAAUGGAGCCCAAAAUGUUAAAUUAUGUACUAAGAAUACAAAGACAAAACAAAAAAUGUUGUUCUGUGGCAUCAGAGGCAGUGCAAUGAUCAGAUGUCAGUUUGCUAUGUUGGCUAAAAAAUGCUAAUACACGGAUACUAGCUUUUAAAAGAAUACUGACGUAGCCAAGGCAGUGGAUGGCUUGUGCAUAUUAAACUGAGCAGUGCAAUGUCAUAGUAGUAAUGACCUUCCAGAUGUCAGUAAGAUAGAAAUAGACUUCUGUCACCAGAGAGACGGGCAGGCUCAACAUCUUCACACAGUAAGCGGCUGUAAGCAGACACCCACCAGCAGCCGUUAGGCUUCACAGUGGAGGGUAGUGGAGCUGGCAGCCAUUUAGGCCACAAGUCUACAAAUCAUGGCAGAGGAGAGAAGGGCAGCAGUCAUUAAGAGACUUGGAGACGGCCCGUUUCCUUUUAUUCUACCUCACGGUCCAAUUGGUGCCAGAGAGCAGCAAUAGCAGCAUGGCUCUGACUAAACACCUGACUUUUCAGUAUUUGCAUGGAAGGGAAAGUGAGACAUAAUGGCAACAACAUAAGUUUUUGAGGCAAUGGGAGAAUUAUUCAAAGGCCUCGCAGAUUGGCAAAAAGCUAGCAGCUAAAUCCAAAUCACUAAGGCGACUUAGUUCCAUACAAAGGUAUGCUUUUAAAAGUACUUAACAUAUGGGGAAGCCACGCUGACAGACUGGUUGCACCUCACACUCCUUUUUAGCAGAAAUAAAUUCUUAAUUUCUUUAUCUAGUUUACUUUAACACUCAGAAAAAACACAUCCAAAGAAAAAUGGACAUCUUUGCAAUUGGCCACUAGCCUGGUAACGUUAAACUAUUAGAAAAAUAGUCCCAUCAUAAAUGUGCUUGUAACGUCAGUGAAGAACUACAGCAGCCAGGGAGGACAAUAAAACAAGAAACAAGUUGUAAAGAGAGACUUGGAGACCUUUUUCCUGUAGCAAAGAGACAGAGGUUGCCUGUAGAGGGGCUGACAGUUAUACGUUCUUGGAUUCCUGCUGUCCCUCAAACUCCAGUGGACUGGCAAGCAGAGUGUGGUGAAUGAAUUGUUAAUCAAUGUCUGUGGUUGGUGUCUGUGCAUGUGCAUAAGUGUGUACAUUAAAAUCUUGUGUUACAAGAGUCACAAGUCAGGAGAUCAGCUGAAAAAAAUCCCAAAGGUUUUUUUUUUUUUUGGACAAGUGUGUUAGUUUUUUUCUGUUUUUGCCUCCAUUUCAGACGGUGUUAUGUGCGCAUUUUCCUUUUAUCUUCGAACAGCGAGCGGACAAGGUAGACCUGAACCGCCGACACCAGCACCAUCACAAUGAGAUUGAUCACCGACCAAAAGUUCACCCUGUCGAAGUUGCUCUCCUGGAGGUUACGGUCGCGAGCCUCAAACGCUCGCAGCACCGUCUGGAUCUGCACACUUUUCCCCAGCCGAGCCUUCACAUUGUUGAUGGUGUCCUGAAGGAGAGACAAGCAGGUCAGACUGACUGGAUCUGAGAAGAGAACUAAUAAAUAAUUUGUCUCCAAUUUUCAUCUUAGGUUAUUGUAGAUGAACUAAAUACAACUUCGAAGCAAAGAGGAAUCAAAAUGAGAUUUGGAUCUUUUUGAGUCUGCAAACAAAGCAGCUCAUUCAGGUGAGUUCCUUCCUCCACAAGAAAACAACUUCCUCCACAGCUGGAAGAUACAUUUCCUGCCUUUUAACAAGUGAUGCCUAUGUGACUUCUGACACAAAUUAAGGCUGUUUCUGGGGGUGGUGCAGGCUACUGUGGUGCAAACUCAAACAAUUGGCUCCCUUCAGCCAAUAGGUGAGAGUUCAUUAUGACAUUGUCUAUUCUCGUGACAGUCUCCUUGUGACUUUCCCUGUACGUGGUGGAUUGCGUGCUAUUUUGCUGGCGGCCUGUUGGGUCACUUUGCCCCCCCUGUGAGCAUAUAUGGCACAGUGACAAAUAUCUCAAUGACAGACAGUAGAAGGACCCUGAAUCGGUAUAAACCUUUAUAUUCUAUCAAGAUUCAAAAGUUCUCAUACAUACAAAUCUAUAUAAGUCUUUGUCUGAAAAACAUUUCAUGUCAAAUAUCAUCAACUGAGACUGACUACACACUCACCAUAAUGUCUUCCAUCUUCAUAUCCAGCAUAUCUGAGCCGUGCACGUACUCCUUCCAGUCGUCUGGGUCUUCUGUGUCCAUGUUGUCCAGGAUCAACUCAAAGAAGAUGAGCUUUUCCGAAACAGAGCUGAAUGUGUUGUCAAAGCAGAACAUGUAGUCUCCAUCCUCGGUUUCUAUGCUGCAGGGAAACACAAACAGUACUAGGAACGUGCACGUUUAACUCAGUCAUUUAUGUGUGUUUGAAGGAUGAUCCAUGUUGCUUACGUGUGAACACCGUCUGACUUGCGGUAGUCGCUGAACAGCAGUUGGCCAGAAGGAGAGGAGAUGUAGAAAUCUACAUCGAGACCUGCACCAUCUAAUACCUGUGAAGGGUGGAAGAAAAGGUCAGUUAGGCAGAGAGGGAGAAGAAAAUCAAGAGAUACUGACGUUGUAGAGAUUAGGGGUGAAUGAGAACGGGAAAAUAUCCGAUGCAAAUUUAACAGAAAUUCCAAUUACGAUUUGAUCUGCGAUAGAAUUCUUUUAAUUCGCAGUGCAUUAGAUUUAAAUUGUGAUGGAUCAAUACUACAUGAGAUACUGUCAAAGGUGUGACUGUCGCACAAGGAAGACAGUGUGAAUUUGUAAAAACAAUGACAUUUUAAAUCCUGCAUCAAAUGGGCUGCAGAACAAAUAUCUGAAGUUGUAGUAUUUACAAUUUGCUAAUUGCAUUGCUUCAAACUGCAAUUUUGAUUUGAAAUCAAUAACUUAUUCAGUCCUAAAGAUGUUACAACACUGAAAGUUAGCCUUGGUUGCAGCAUUUAAAUAGUUUAAUACUCAUGUCAUACAUUAGAGAAAUGCUAGUUCUCCCUCACAAGGUUUUCAUGAAAGCGAUAAGCCUUGAUGCCUUGUCCUUCACUGUAGACACCACAAGAUAUGUACAUAUGUGGACAAAAUUGUUGGCACCCAUCGGUUAAUGAAAGAAAAACUCACAAUUGUCACAGAAAUAAUUUGAAUCUGAUAAAAGUAAUAAAUUAAAAUUCUAUGGAAAUUAAACAAUGAAAAUCAGACAUUGCUUUUGAACCGUGGUUUAACAGAAUUAUUUAAAAAAUAAACUCAUGAAACAGGCCUGGACAAAAAUGAUGGUACCCUUAAUAUUUUGUUGCACAACCUUUUGAGGCAAUCACUGCAAUCAAACGAUUUCUGUAACUGUCAAUGAGACUUCUGCACCUCUCAGCAGGUAUUCUGGUCCACUCCUCAUGAGCAGACUGCUCCAGUUGUCUCAGGUUUGAAGGGUUCCUUCUACAGACGCCAUGUUUCAGCUCCUUCCACGGAUGUUCAAUAGGAUUUAGAUCAGGGCCAACUGACUGAUUACAAGUUUGUAGAUACCUGUGAUGCUAAUUAGAGCACACACCUUGAUUGAACAUGUCCCUGUGGCCACAUUAUUCUAUUGUCUUUUCUAGGGGUACCAUCAUUUUUGUCCAGGCCUGUUUCAUGAGUUUAUUUUUUUUAAAUAAUUCUGUUGAACCACGGUUCAAAAGCAAUCUCUGAUUUUCAUUGGUUAUUUUUCAUAGAAUUUUUAUUUAUUAUUACUUUUGUCAGAUGCAAAUUAUUUCUGUGACCAUUGCAGGUUUUUCUUUCCGUACCAAUAAUUUUGUCCACGUGUGUAAAAUGCUUGGGAUGCCUCCCACAGACACAAACAAAUACUAACUCCCACACAUCACUUAACAUCUAGAAAAAACAUAAAGAGACCAUUCUGUGCAGUACUUUGCAUUCUGACCGGCAAAACGGGUUCUAAACAAUAUGAAAAUCAAGGUGUGAGCACAUUGUCUAUAUAUCUGUAGGUGUGAGCCACAUAACCUGCUGGUUCUCUUGCACUAGACAAAAUAACACAUCAAUUUAUAAGAGUGAGUUGCACGUGGUUUUAACGAAUAUUGAGAAUCAUAAAUUGCAGUGAAUAAGAACAACAAAAGGACAAAUCAACAGGUUUGACAAGUGUGUCGAUGUUGACUCUUCUUCCUUUACGGUUACCAUUGAUUUGGCUGCCUGUAGACACAGACAGGAAGUUUUCUUUUGUUUAGCUAACCCAACAGUUUCAAGUAAAAGUUGUGUGAGCUCUAUAUAACCUGAUAUUCAAUCUCCAGGGAGGCCUCUUUCUUCAUGGUCUGGUAGAAACACUCCUUUCGACCGGGGGGUAGAGUAAAAGUGAAGUCGCUGUCCAGAGACUGGGAGAAGGCAGCCAGCACCACUAACCUGUCCGACAAGAGCGAAACAAACACGGACAGGACGCACACAAAUACCCGGACUAGCUCCAUAGUACGAGGCUAAAAGUCCAAAAAAAGCCCAAACGCUGUUGUAGUGGCCGGCCACGGUGCUGGAAGUAGGCGGCGAGGCUGCUAGCUUCGUUCGCCCAAAGUUGACUCCUGUUUAAAUGUUCUCACUCAGUGCUGUCGAAAGUUCAGGACCCCGCCGGUUUAAAAUAACAAUUUUUAUUAAUUGCACCAAAAAUGUCUGAUGAAUUUGUUGCUACAUUCAAAAUUAUCAUUAUGUAGGAUUUUUGUAUUGUAGUCAUCUUUGGAUACAUAUUUUAUACAACAGAAAAUGACAGGCAUAUCUCUCGAUGCCUGUAAUGAAAUGCAUUAUGGGAAAUGCUGUUCUUUAGUUCCAUGUGCGUUAAAUAAGACUUCAGGAGGAACCAAAGCGUGUAUUCCAAAAUAUUUUUUACUUUUAAUGACUACUAACACCUAAGAGCUGUUUUUAAACAAUUUUUUAAGAAAUAAAACAUGACUGACAAAUUC